UUGUCAUUUGUUGAUUCAGACGCAGAUAUUAAACAUAAACUGUGGUUACUAAAUAUGAACCAAAAUUUGCUGGUGUGUUACUUCAAAUCACAGUGAAGGGGUCAAUGGUAACACAUUCAAAGUUACUUUAUUUAGGGUAUAUUACUGGAUAAUUAUUUAACAUUGACCUUAGUUUAUAAUAUCUGCUACUUAAUGUAGUGAGAUAUGUUUGUUGUAGCACACUGCUCCAUGACUGUAGCUGUGAGGUGGUUGCUGACUCUUUUAUUUGAAUAUGAGUUCGUGAGUAAUUUGAAGAAUUAACAAAUUAUUGUAGUAGAUUGUUGCUGCCCUUUUUGCUGGGGUCGGGUUUGCAAUGGUAUUAGCUGUUGGUAGUUGGUGCUGAUGAUGGUUGUCUAGCUGUGCUGCUGGUUUCUGUUGAUUCCAAAG
rnacentral:lncRNA from 1 species